rnacentral:tRNA from 2 species
UGGAGCUUAGUUUAUUAGUUGGCUAAAAUACACAACUUUGCUAGCACUUGUGAGACGUAGGUUCGAAUCCUGCAGUUCCAA